rnacentral:rRNA from 1 species
GGGUUGUGAGGUUAAGCGACUAAGCGUACACGGUGGAUGCCCUGGCAGUCAGAGGCGAUGAAGGGCGUGCUAAUCUGCGAUAAGCGCCGGUAAGGUGAUAUGAACCGUUAUAACCGGCGAUACCCGAAUGGGGAAACCCAGUGUGACUCGUCACACUAUCAUUAACUGAAUCCAUAGGUUAAUGAGGCGAACCGGGGGAACUGAAACAUCUAAGUACCCCGAGGAAAAGAAAUCAACCGAGAUUCCCCCAGUAGCGGCGAGCGAACGGGGAGGAGCCCAGAGCCUGAAUCAGCAUGUGUGUUAGUGGAAGCGUCUGGAAAGGCGCGCGAUACAGGGUGACAGCCCCGUACACAAAAGCGCAUGUGCUGUGAGCUCGAUGAGUAGGGCGGGACACGUGGUAUCCUGUCUGAAUAUGGGGGGACCAUCCUCCAAGGCUAAAUACUCCUGACUGACCGAUAGUGAACCAGUACCGUGAGGGAAAGGCGAAAAGAACCCCGGCGAGGGGAGUGAAAAAGAACCUGAAACCGUGUACGUACAAGCAGUGGGAGCACCCUUUGGGGUGUGACUGCGUACCUUUUGUAUAAUGGGUCAGCGACUUAUAUUCUGUAGCAAGGUUAACCGUAUAGGGGAGCCGUAGGGAAACCGAGUCUUAACCGGGCGUUAAGUUGCAGGGUAUAGACCCGAAACCCGGUGAUCUAGCCAUGGGCAGGUUGAAGGUUGGGUAACACUAACUGGAGGACCGAACCGACUAAUGUUGAAAAAUUAGCGGAUGACCUGUGGCUGGGGGUGAAAGGCCAAUCAAACCGGGAGAUAGCUGGUUCUCCCCGAAAGCUAUUUAGGUAGCGCCUCGUGAAUUCAUCUCCGGGGGUAGAGCACUGUUUCGGCUAGGGGGCCAUCCCGGCUUACCAACCCGAUGCAAACUGCGAAUACCGGAGAAUGUUAUCACGGGAGACACACGGCGGGUGCUAACGUCCGUCGUGAAGAGGGAAACAACCCAGACCGCCAGCUAAGGUCCCAAAGUCAUGGUUAAGUGGGAAACGAUGUGGGAAGGCCCAGACAGCCAGGAUGUUGGCUUAGAAGCAGCCAUCAUUUAAAGAAAGCGUAAUAGCUCACUGGUCGAGUCGGCCUGCGCGGAAGAUGUAACGGGGCUAAACCAUGCACCGAAGCUGCGGCAGCGACGCUUAUGCGUUGUUGGGUAGGGGAGCGUUCUGUAAGCCUGUGAAGGUGGCCUGUGAGGGUUGCUGGAGGUAUCAGAAGUGCGAAUGCUGACAUAAGUAACGAUAAAGCGGGUGAAAAGCCCGCUCGCCGGAAGACCAAGGGUUCCUGUCCAACGUUAAUCGGGGCAGGGUGAGUCGACCCCUAAGGCGAGGCCGAAAGGCGUAGUCGAUGGGAAACGGGUUAAUAUUCCCGUACUUGGUGUUACUGCGAAGGGGGGACGGAGAAGGCUAUGUUGGCCGGGCGACGGUUGUCCCGGUUUAAGCGUGUAGGCUGGUUUUCCAGGCAAAUCCGGAAAAUCAAGGCUGAGGCGUGAUGACGAGGCACUACGGUGCUGAAGCAACAAAUGCCCUGCUUCCAGGAAAAGCCUCUAAGCAUCAGGUAACAUCAAAUCGUACCCCAAACCGACACAGGUGGUCAGGUAGAGAAUACCAAGGCGCUUGAGAGAACUCGGGUGAAGGAACUAGGCAAAAUGGUGCCGUAACUUCGGGAGAAGGCACGCUGACACGUAGGUGAAGUGAUUUACUCACGGAGCUGAAGUCAGUCGAAGAUACCAGCUGGCUGCAACUGUUUAUUAAAAACACAGCACUGUGCAAACACGAAAGUGGACGUAUACGGUGUGACGCCUGCCCGGUGCCGGAAGGUUAAUUGAUGGGGUCAGCGCAAGCGAAGCUCCUGAUCGAAGCCCCGGUAAACGGCGGCCGUAACUAUAACGGUCCUAAGGUAGCGAAAUUCCUUGUCGGGUAAGUUCCGACCUGCACGAAUGGCGUAAUGAUGGCCAGGCUGUCUCCACCCGAGACUCAGUGAAAUUGAACUCGCUGUGAAGAUGCAGUGUACCCGCGGCAAGACGGAAAGACCCCGUGAACCUUUACUAUAGCUUGACACUGAACAUUGAGCCUUGAUGUGUAGGAUAGGUGGGAGGCUUUGAAGUGUGGACGCCAGUCUGCAUGGAGCCGACCUUGAAAUACCACCCUUUAAUGUUUGAUGUUCUAACGUGGACCCGUAAUCCGGGUUGCGGACAGUGUCUGGUGGGUAGUUUGACUGGGGCGGUCUCCUCCUAAAGAGUAACGGAGGAGCACGAAGGUUGGCUAAUCCUGGUCGGACAUCAGGAGGUUAGUGCAAUGGCAUAAGCCAGCUUGACUGCGAGCGUGACGGCGCGAGCAGGUGCGAAAGCAGGUCAUAGUGAUCCGGUGGUUCUGAAUGGAAGGGCCAUCGCUCAACGGAUAAAAGGUACUCCGGGGAUAACAGGCUGAUACCGCCCAAGAGUUCAUAUCGACGGCGGUGUUUGGCACCUCGAUGUCGGCUCAUCACAUCCUGGGGCUGAAGUAGGUCCCAAGGGUAUGGCUGUUCGCCAUUUAAAGUGGUACGCGAGCUGGGUUUAGAACGUCGUGAGACAGUUCGGUCCCUAUCUGCCGUGGGCGCUGGAGAACUGAGGGGGGCUGCUCCUAGUACGAGAGGACCGGAGUGGACGCAUCACUGGUGUUCGGGUUGUCAUGCCAAUGGCACUGCCCGGUAGCUAAAUGCGGAAGAGAUAAGUGCUGAAAGCAUCUAAGCACGAAACUUGCCCCGAGAUGAGUUCUCCCUGAGACUUUAAGUCUCCUGAAGGAACGUUGAAGACGACGACGUUGAUAGGCCGGGUGUGUAAGCGCAGCGAUGCGUUGAGCUAACCGGUACUAAUGAACCGUGAGGCUUAACCUUACAACGCCGAAG